GCCAUUGGCCUGCAUACAUCGCACACGGUAGUUGUGGCAAAUGCAGCUAUGCUGGAACCUUUAAUGAGAAGAAAUGUCAAUCGUACUGUGGAGAACCAUCUCAGAGAUGGUAUCAUGUUCCCCGCGCUUGGUUGAAUCCAAACGGGAACGUAUUGGUAAUUUUUGAAGAAUGGGGUGGCAAUCCUGAUGGGAUUUCUUUGGUUAAGAGAUCCGUGUCCUGAUAACACCAAGAAGCUUUGAGAGGCUGUCUACAACUAAACUCAAUCAUGCCUCACGUUUCUCUCUAGUUUCACCAAAAUACAUCUAUAGAUUUUUCAAAUUAUAGUUCAUCCUGAGUUGCAUAAAGUUCUUGCCAAGCUCAGGACAGCAGCGGGCGUCUCGGACUGUAAUGUUCAAACUCGCAAGAGAAUAAGUGGAGAAAAAUACCAAAACCAAACACCAUUUUUAUGCCAAAUGUAGAUAGUGAAGAAGUUUGCUACGUACAUAGAAAGAAAAGCUAUUCUUGGGUUCAGAACUUUGAUCCCAGAUUCAAACCCAUAUUUGUUUAUUUGGGGCUUAUGUAAUUAUUCGAUCAUCGGUCGAGAUUGUAACGUUUGAAUACAAUACAAAUGUUUAAGCACAAUACAUAAUCAUUAUACUUUAUGAGAGUUGAUUC